CAAUAGCGUAUAUUAAAGUUGUUGCGGUAAAAAAGCUCGUAGUUGGAUUUCUACCGAAGAUAGCCGGUCGGGUCUUCGACCUUGUAUCUGGUUUUGUCUUUGGUAUCCUCAUAGGGAACGUUUCUGCGCUUUAUUGCGUGGUGCGGUAUCUAUGACUUUUACUUUGAGGAAAUUAGAGUGUUCACGGCAGGCAAACGCCUUGAAUAUAUUAGCAUGGAAUAAUAACAUAGGAUCUUCGUCCUAUUUUGUUGGUUUCUAGGGCUAAGAUAAUGAUUAAUAGGGAUAAUUGGGGGCAUCUGUAUCAACGCGUCAGAGGUGGAAUUCUUGGAUUGCGUUGCGACAAACUACUGCGAAAGUAUUUGCCAAGGAUGUUUUCAUUGA
rnacentral:rRNA from 1 species